GUAAGGAAUAUUGGACAAUGGACGCAAGUCUGAUCCAGCCAUGCCGCGUGAAGGAUUAAGGUCCUCUGGAUUGUAAACUUCCUUUAUAAGGGACGAAAAAAGGCUUUUCUAAGUCGUCUGACGGUACCUUAUGAAUAAGCACCGGCUAACUCCGUGCCAGCAGCCGCGGUAAUACGGAGGGUGCAAGCGUUAUCCGGAUUCACUGGGUUUAAAGGGUGCGUAGGCGGGCAGGUAAGUCAGUGGUGAAAUCCUAGAGCUUAACUCUAGAACUGCCAUUGAUACUAUCUGUCUUGAAUAUUGUGGAGGUAAGCGGAAUAUGUCAUGUAGCGGUGAAAUGCUUAGAUAUGACAUAGAACACCUAUUGCGAAGGCAGCUUACUACGCAUAUAUUGACGCUGAGGCACGAAAGCGUGGGGAUCAAACAGGAUUAGAUACCCUGGUAGUCC
rnacentral:rRNA from 1 species